rnacentral:rRNA from 1 species
AGAGUUUGAUCAUGGCUCAGAAUCAACGCUGGCGGCGUGCCUAACACAUGCAAGUCGAACGCGAAAGGGGAGCAAUCCCUGAGUAGAGUGGCAAACGGGUGAGUAACACGUGGGUGACCUGCCUCAGAGUGGGGGAUAACGUCCCGAAAGGGACGCUAAUACCGCAUAACAUCCUGCCUUUGGAAAGGCGGAGAUCAAAGCUGGGGAUCGCAAGACCCGGCACUUGGAGAGGGGCCCGCGUCUGAUUAGCUAGUUGGUGAGGUAACGGCUCACCAAGGCGACGAUCAGUAUCCGGCCUGAGAGGGCGGACGGACACACUGGGACUGAGACACGGCCCAGACUCCUACGGGAGGCAGCAGUGGGGAAUUGUUCGCAAUGGGCGCAAGCCUGACGACGCAACGCCGCGUGGAGGAUGAAGAUCUUCGGGACGUAAACUCCUGUCGAACGGGAAGAAUGUUUCGCGGAUGAAUAAGCUGCGAAAGUGACGGUACCGUUAAAGGAAGCCCCGGCUAACUCCGUGCCAGCAGCCGCGGUAAUAC